rnacentral:rRNA from 1 species
UACAGAGGGUGCUAGCGUUGUUCGGAAUCACUGGGCGUAAAGCGCGCGUAGGCGGUUCGUUAAGUGGGAUGUGAAAUCCCCGGGCUUAACCUGGGAAUUGCAUUUCAAACUGGCGAACUAGAGUGCGGUAGAGGGAGGUAGAAUUUCCUGUGUAGCGGUGAAAUGCGUAGAUAUAGGAAGGAAUACCAGUGGCGAAGGCGGCCUCCUGGAUCGACACUGACGCUGAGGCGCGAAAGCGUGGGGAGCAAACAGG